rnacentral:rRNA from 1 species
GAUGAACGCUGGCGGCGUGCCUAAUACAUGCAAGUCGAGCGAACAGACGAGGAGCUUGCUCCUCUGACGUUAGCGGCGGACGGGUGAGUAACACGUGGAUAACCUACCUAUAAGACUGGGAUAACUUCGGGAAACCGGAGCUAAUACCGGAUAAUAUAUUGAACUGCAUGGUUCAAUAGUGAAAGACGGUUUUGCUGUCACUUAUAGAUGGAUCCGCGCCGCAUUAGCUAGUUGGUAAGGUAACGGCUUACCAAGGCAACGAUGCGUAGCCGACCUGAGAGGGUGAUCGGCCACACUGGAACUGAGACACGGUCCAGACUCCUAAGGGAGGCAGCAGUAGGGAAUCUUCCGCAAUGGGCGAAAGCCUGACGGAGCAACGCCGCGUGAGUGAUGAAGGUCUUCGGAUCGUAAAACUCUGUUAUUAGGGAAGAACAAAUGUGUAAGUAACUAUGCACGUCUUGACGGUACCUAAUCAGAAAGCCACGGCUAACUACGUG